AGUGAACGCUGGCGGUAGGCCUAACACAUGCAAGUCGAACGGCAGCACAGUAAGAGCUUGCUCUUACGGGUGGCGAGUGGCGGACGGGUGAGGAAUACAUCGGAAUCUACUUUUUCGUGGGGGAUAACGUAGGGAAACUUACGCUAAUACCGCAUACGACCUACGGGUGAAAGCAGGGGAUCUUCGGACCUUGCGCGAUUGAAUGAGCCGAUGUCGGAUUAGCUAGUUGGCGGGGUAAAGGCCCACCAAGGCGACGAUCCGUAGCUGGUCUGAGAGGAUGAUCAGCCACACUGAACUGAGACACGGUCCAGACUCCUACGGGAGGCAGCAGUGGGGAAUAUUGGACAAUGGGGGCAAGCCUGAUCCAGCCAUACCGCGUGGGUGAAGAAGGCCUUCGGGUUGUAAAGCCCUUUUGUUGGGAAAGAACAGCAGCAGGUUAAUACCCCGCUGUUCUGACGGUACCCAAAGAAUAAGCACCGGCUAACUUCGUG
rnacentral:rRNA from 1 species